GUUCAAUUUAGGUAGGCUGCAUGUGUCCAGGAAUCUAUCCAUUUCUGAUAGGUUUCCCUGUUUGCUGGCAUACAAGUCCUUGUAGUAAUUUCUGAUGAUUCUUUUUAUUUCUGUGGUGUCUGUUGUUACAUUUCCUUUUUCAUCUCUGAUUUUAUUGAUUUGGGUCUUUUCUCUUCUUUUUUUAGUUAGUUGGGCCAAUGGGGUGUCAA